rnacentral:rRNA from 1 species
GACGAACGCUGGCGGCGUGCUUAACACAUGCCAGUCGAACGGAAAGGCCCUGCUUUUGUGGGGUGCUCGAGUGGCGAACGGGUGAGUAACACGUGAGUAACCUGCCCUUGACUUUGGGAUAACUUCAGGAAACUGGGGCUAAUACCGGAUAGGAGCUCCUGCUGCAUGGUGGGGGUUGGAAAGUUUCGGCGGUUGGGGAUGGACUCGCGGCUUAUCAGCCUGUUGGUGGGGUAGUGGCUUACCAAGGCUUUGACGGGUAGCCGGCCUGAGAGGGUGACCGGCCACAUUGGGACUGAGAUACGGCCCAGACUCCUACGGGAGGCAGCAGUGGGGAAUAUUGCACAAUGGGCGGAAGCCUGAUGCAGCAACGCCGCGUGCGGGAUGACGGCCUUCGGGUUGUAAACCGCUUUCGCCUGUGACGAAGCGUGAGUGACGGUAAUGUGUAAAGAAGCACCGGCUAACUACGUG